CUGGAGGAAGAGGUCCACCUGCAACCGAUUCCCGAACCCAGGGCGGCCAGUUGGUUUGCAAGCUUUGGCCAGAUUAACAAGUACAUGGAGAAGCUCUUCAGCAACGGUUUGAAGAAAUCCAAAAGCCACAAGAAACCCUCCAACACCACCAAAUCCACCCCAUCGAACACCACAGAACGUCCUCACUUGAGUGUCACGCGCCCCCUACGGAAGAACAGCAGCAAACCCCCAACGCAGGAACCCCUAGGACGCCUGUCAUUAGCCUCCAGCACGAACAAUAAACAGCAAUAGCGGGACUGACAAGGUGGCUCAGUGGUAAGGGCACUUGCCACUAAGCCUGUCAGCCAGAAUUCCAUCCCCGAUCUCAUAAGACGGAAGAAAGGACACGUAUACCGUGGCUUGUGUGUGUGCACACACGUCAUGCAGAUACACAACAAUAAAGGAAUGGAUAAAUACAUUUUAAACAAGAA